GUGGAUUAGAUACCCUGGUAGUCCUAGCCCUAAACGAUGUAGACUAGGCGUUGGUGGCUUAAUCGCCAUCAGUGUCCAAGCUAACGCGAUAAGUCUACCGCCUGGGGACUACGGCCGCAAGGUUAAAACUCAAAGGAAUUGACGGGUCCCCGCACAAGCAGCGGAGCGUGUGGUUUAAUUCGUUGCUACACGAAGAACCUUACCUGGGUUUGACAUAGCAGUGGUAGGGAAGCGAAAGCGGACCGACCCUUCGGGGAGCGGUUACAGGUGUUGCAUGGCUGUCGUCAGCU
rnacentral:rRNA from 1 species